ensembl:snRNA U2 U2 spliceosomal RNA
AUCUCUUCUUGGCUUUUUGGCUAAGACCAAGUGUAGUAUCUGUUCUUAGCAGUUUAAUAAUGCGCAGGACCUACAGUGCAGGUGAAUGUGCUGGGGAAGCAGGCCCCUC